UACGUAGGGGGCAAGCGUUGUCCGGAAUCAUUGGGCGUAAAGCGCGUGUAGGCGGCCCGAUAAGUCCGCCGUGAAAGCCCAGGGCUCAACCCUGGGAUGCCGGUGGAAACUGUCGGGCUAGAGUCCGGAAGAGGCGAGUGGAAUUCCUGGUGUAGCGGUGAAAUGCGCAGAUAUCAGGAGGAACACCGGUGGCGAAGGCGGGUCUCUGGGCCGUAACUGACGCUGAGACGCGAAAGCGUGGGGAGCAAACAGG
rnacentral:rRNA from 1 species